rnacentral:rRNA from 1 species
AUAUGCCUACAACAUAGCACUAAUGAACUGGAUCCCAUUAGAACUCCACAGUUAAGCGUGCUCAGGCUAGAGUAGUAUUGGGAUGGGUGACCGCCCAAGAAGUCCUAGUGUUUUACAUGCC